GUUGUGUUGUGUUGUGUUGUCUAUAGUUUCUCUUAAUGCUAGAGGGUGUUGUGUUGUGUUGUGUUGUCUAUAGUUUCUCUUAAUGCUAGAGGGUGUUGUGUUGUCUAUAGUGUGUCUUAAUGCUAGAGGGUGUUGUGUUGUGUUGUCUAUAGUUUAUCUUAAUGCUAGAGGGUGUUGUGUUGUCUAUAGUUUCUCUUAAUGCUAGAGGGUGUUGUGUUGUGUUGUGUUGUCUAUAGUGUGUCUUAAUGCUAGAGGGUGUUGUGUUGUCUAUAGUGUGUCUUAAUGCUAGAGGGUGUUGUGUUGUCUAUAGUUUAUCUUAAUGCUAGAGGGUAGGGUGUUGUGUUGUCUAUAGUGUGUCUUAAUGCUAGAGGGUGUUGUGUUGUGUUGUGUUGUCUAUAGUGUGUCUUAAUGCUAGAGGGUGUUGUGUUGUGUUGUCUAUAGUGUGUCUUAAUGCUAGAGGGUAGGGUGUUGUGUUGUGUUGUCUAUAGUGUGUCUUAAUGCUAGAGGGUGUUGUGUUGUCUAUAGUGUGUCUUAAU
rnacentral:lncRNA from 1 species